UGGGGAAUUUUGGACAAUGGGGGCAACCCUGAUCCAGCCAUGCCGCGUGAGUGAAGAAGGCCUUCGGGUUGUAAAGCUCUUUCGGGCGGGAAGAAAAGGUCAAGGCUAAUACCUUUGACUGCUGACGGUACCGCAAGAAGAAGCACCGGCUAACUACGUGCCAGCAGCCGCGGUAAUACGUAGGGUGCGAGCGUUAAUCGGAAUUACUGGGCGUAAAGCGUGCGCAGGCGGUGGCUCAAGUCAGAUGUGAAAGCCCCGGGCUUAACCUGGGAAUUGCGUUUGAAACUGAGUCGCUAGAGUUUAGCAGAGGGGGGUAGAAUUCCACGUGUAGCAGUGAAAUGCGUAGAGAUGUGGAGGAACACCGAUGGCGAAGGCAGCCCCCUGGGCUAGAACUGACGCUCAGGCACGAAAGCGUGGGGAGCAAACAG
rnacentral:rRNA from 1 species